rnacentral:lncRNA from 1 species
GGUCUAUUAGGACUCGUUUCAUAGAAUAUCCUAAGGAGUCCAUGGAAUACUACUUUUACCUCCCAGAGGAUCACAAUGUAAUUAUGAGCCGUCAUGUUGUCUUCUUAAAAAAAUAGUUUAUCCAAGAUGAAGGUAGUAGGAGAAAAAUUGAGCUCGAAGAGAGAGUCUCUGAAGAGCAACGAGUCCUGGAGUCGGAACCCAUUUAUAGUAAGCUAAUAGAUGUGGUAUCUGCUCC